rnacentral:hammerhead_ribozyme from 1 species
AUUCAGCUGACGAGUCUCAAAUAAGACGAAACGCGAGUCCUGGAU